AACUAUGGAUUAGAUACCCUAUUAUUUUAAAUGUAAUUUAAAAUUCUUGAUUAUUAAUAGUUAUGUUCUUUAAAAUUAAAAAUUUUGGCGGUUUUUUAGUCUAUUCAGAGGAAUCUGUCCUGUAAUUGAUAUUCCACGAUUAAAAUUACUUUUUUUAAUAAUUUGCAUAUCGUCGUAGUUUGAAUAUUUUAUUAGAAUUUAAAUAUUCAUAAUUUUAUUAGAAAAGAAAUCAGAUCAAGGUGUAGUUUAUAAAGAAGUAGAGAUGGAUUACAUUAAAUUUAUUUAAGGAUUAAUUUUUGAAAAAUUUUAUGAAUUUGGAUUUGGUAGUAAUUUUAAUUAUUUAAUUAAAAUGAUUUUAGCUCUAAAAUAUGCACAUA
rnacentral:rRNA from 1 species